UACGAAGGGGGCUAGCGUUGCUCGGAAUCACUGGGCGUAAAGGGUGCGUAGGCGGGUCUUUAAGUCAGGGGUGAAAUCCUGGAGCUCAACUCCAGAACUGCCUUUGAUACUGAAGAUCUUGAGUUCGGGAGAGGUGAGUGGAACUGCGAGUGUAGAGGUGAAAUUCGUAGAUAUUCGCAAGAACACCAGUGGCGAAGGCGGCUCACUGGCCCGGUACUGACGCUGAGGUGCGAAAGCGUGGGGAGCAA
rnacentral:rRNA from 1 species